rnacentral:lncRNA from 1 species
GCAGGCAUUCUUUGAACUAUUGUUAUUUGAUACAUGCAGGUCAACUGAAAAGAAAGACAAUGGCUACACGGAUUAAGAAACAGCAAGAAACCAGGCAAGAGAUGUAGAUUUGCAACAACAUUGGGAAUAUAAAUUGAUUAUCUUUCUAAUCUCUUUGAAGAAUAAUGCCUCAUUUAGACCCAUUUACACCAAACAGAAAUGACUGAUAGUUGGCUGGCUUGUCUUAGACCAGAAAGACAGCAACACAAAUAGCAAAGAAUAUAACAGCGUCCAGUAAUGCAGCUAGCCCACGUGUGAAAUGAAGCAAGAGUGGCAUAGCAGGCGUGGACAGCCACAGGAAGGGUGGGGCUUCAAGCCACAUUAAGAGGCAAUAGAAGGAAGGAGAAAAUCUUAUCUCGUGGAACUAUACUAUAUAAACACCUGAAAAUGUCAAAGAUUUGUUUAAAGGGUACAACUUACCCUUUAGCUGAAAUAAAGUUGGGAGGACAGACGUCUGGUGGGGUCCUGUACCUCUAGGACCCCAGUCAGGAAUCCUCUCUGGAGGAAAAUAG